AUCCAGCAGACGAGUCCCAAAUAGGACGAAACGUGCUUCCUGGAU
rnacentral:hammerhead_ribozyme from 1 species